rnacentral:lncRNA from 10 species
ACUACUGAAAUGUAAAUGAAAUGGUAACGACAGGAGUAAAGAAUCUAAGAUGGUAAGGAAAAGGACAGCAAACCAUUUAAUUGAAAUCGUCACUGAGAAAUGAAAGCUCUCCUCGGAUAAGCAAUAGGUUUCUGGAAAAUCAAAGUUAUUUUCCAUUAUAACUGGCCCUCAAAAUUUAAAUAUGAAAUUAAACAUUAAACAUUAAAUUCAAACCAAUUCAAGCAAUACAGAAUUGAAUGCGAAAAUCAAGAGUCUGCUUCGGAAGUAUAAGCAAGUAGAGAGAGUGCUGCUUGCUAAUGAACUACAAAUUUUUUAAUGUCAGAAUAAGGAAAACUGUGAUUCAGAUGACUUUGAAGAGCAUCUGACAAUUCCAGGUGAAGAAAAGGUAAACACUGAAAAAAAAAAAAAAAAGGACUAAAUUCCUAAAAGAGAUCAAAUAAUGACCACAGCAAGAAUCUUAAAAAGGGAGAAUGUUACUUCAAAAGGUCGUGAUUAAAUCCAGAUUAACAAAGAUCUGCUCCAGGUGUACUGUCUCUAAUAAAGUUUCCUCCCAAAAUAAAAACAAGGGAGAAAUAGUGUAUUUUAACUCUGACUGAAACCAGAAAUCAUAGUUUCAUCCCAAUGGAAAAUAGUAUUUUUCAAUCAUAUAUGAAAAGAAGUCUUUAAAAGAAGAGUGAAGAAGCUAUAGAUACACCAACAAAAGGAGUGGGUAUGAAAAAGACAAC